ACUACGGGUGGCAGCAGUAGGGAAUAUUGCUCAAUGGGGGAAACCCUGAAGCAGCAACGCCGCGUGGAGGAUGAAGGUUUUCGGAUUGUAAACUCCUUUUGUUAGAGAAGAUAAUGACGGUAUAUAACGAAUAAGCACCGGCUAACUCCGUGCCAGCAGCCGCGGUAAAACGGAGGGUGCAAGCGUUACUCGGAAUCACUGGGCGUAAAGAGCGCGUAGGCGGGAUAGCAAGUCAGAUGUGAAAUCCUAUGGCUUAACCAUAGAACUGCAUUUGAAACUUUUAUUCUAGAGUAUGGGAGAGGUAGGUGGAAUUCUUGGUGUAGGGGUAAAAUCCGUAGAGAUCAAGAGGAAUACUCAUUGCGAAGGCGACCUUCUGGAACAUUACUGUCGCUGAUGCACGAAAGCGUGGGGAGCAAACAGGAUUAGAUACCCGAGUAGUC
rnacentral:rRNA from 1 species